rnacentral:lncRNA from 1 species
UGUUUGAUAUAUAGAUUUUUGUUUACUGGAUUUUUUUAUUUACAAAUUCUUAGCUCAUCAGUUUUCUUAUCUACAAAUCUCAGGUUAGCUUCUUUUUGUGUUAUAGUUUGUUGGGUUUAUAUAUAUACCAUUUUUAACUGCAAUUUGUUCUCUCAUGGAGAAUACUGGGAAUUUUAGAUUGGUUUUUGGGAUUUCAUUUCUCUUUUGUUUACUUAAUCUUUCAGUGGGAUUCAACCCUGUAAAUAACUAAUAAACGACUCACUUGUUGAACCAAGUAGAAGAAAUCAAAACCCUUUGGAACACCAAGAAUUGCCAGACAUUGUAAAACUAAAAAAUUGAUCAAGGCUAAACACUUGAACUUCAUUUCCUUUUCCUCUUUUCCCUUUGUCUCAACUAAUUAAAGUUUGAAGAGUUUUGAGAAUGAUAUCACGUUGAUAAGCUGUUUUUGUAAGUACAAAUGGAAGGCUUAUGGAGGAGGAAUCGGAAGCCAGAUAUGCUAAAGUUCAAAAUGCUUAUGUAUUUGAUGUUUUCCAAAUAACUGCAAUCUGGUAGCUCAAUUACAUGUUCAUAUUAAUUCCAUUUUUUU